CUGAAUAGGGCGCAUAAGUAACAGGUCGUAGACCCGAAACCAGGUGAUCUACCCAUGUCCAGGAUGAAGGUAAGGUAAUACUUACUGGAGGUCCGAACCCACGCACGUUGAAAAGUGCGGGGAUGAGGUGUGGGUAGCGGAGAAAUUCCAAUCGAACUUGGAGAUAGCUGGUUCUCUCCGAAAUAGCUUUAGGGCUAGCCUCGAGGUAAAGAGUCAUGGAGGUAGAGCACUGUUUGGACUAGGGGCCCUUCUCGGGUUACCGAAUUCAGAUAAACUCCGAAUGCCAUGUACUUAUACUCGGGAGUCAGACUGCGAGUGAUAAGAUCCGUAGUCGAAAGGGAAACAGCCCAGACCACCAGUUAAGGUCCCCAAAUAUAUGUUAAGUGGAAAAGGAUGUGGGGUUGCUUAGACAACCAGGAUGUUGGCUUAGAAGCAGCCACCAUUGAAAGAGUGCGUAAUAGCUCACUGGUCGAGUGACCCCGCGCCGAAAAUGUACCGGGGCUAAACAUAUUACCGAAACUGUGGAUGAACCUCUUUAGAGGUUCGUGGUAGGAGAGCGUUCUAAGGGCGGUGAAGUCAGACCGGAAGGACUGGUGGAGCGCUUAGAAGUGAGAAUGCCGGUAUGAGUAGCGAAAGAAGGGUGAGAAUCCCUUCCACCGAAUAUCUAAGGUUUCCUGAGGAAGGCUCGUCCGCUCAGGGUUAGUCGGGACCUAAGCCGAGGCCGAUAGGCGUAGGCGAUGGACAACAGGUAGAGAUUCCUGUACCAGUGCUAAUUGUUUAACCGAUGGGGUGACACAGAAGGAUAGGGAAUCGCACGAAUGGAAAUGUGCGUCCAAGCAGUGAGUGUGAGAAGUAGGCAAAUCCGCUUCUCGCGAAGCAUGAGCUGUGAUGGGGAAGGAAAUUAAGUACGGAAGUUCCUGAUUUCACGCUGUCAAGAAAAGCCUCUAGGAAGAGUAGUACUGCCCGUACCGCAAACCGACACAGGUAGAUGAGGAGAGAAUCCUAAGGUGAGCGAGAGAACUCUCGUUAAGGAACUCGGCAAAAUGACCCCGUAACUUCGGGAGAAGGGGUGCUCUAUUAGGGUGCAAGCCCGAGAGAGCCGCAGUGAAUAGGCCCAGGCGACUGUUUAGCAAAAACACAGGUCUCUGCAAAACCGUAAGGUGACGUAUAGGGGCUGACGCCUGCCCGGUGCUGGAAGGUUAAGAGGAGUGCUUAGCUUCGGCGAAGGUACGAAUUGAAGCCCCAGUAAACGGCGGCCGUAACUAUAACGGUCCUAAGGUAGCGAAAUUCCUUGUCGGGUAAGUUCCGACCCGCACGAAAGGCGCAACGAUCUGGGCACUGUCUCAACGAGAGACUCGGUGAAAUUAUAGUACCUGUGAAGAUGCAGGUUACCCGCGACAGGACGGAAAGACCCCGUGGAGCUUUACUGCAACCUGAUAUGGAAUGUUUGUACCGC
rnacentral:rRNA from 1 species